rnacentral:tRNA from 1 species
GGAGGUGUGGCUCAAGUGGUAGAGUGCCAGCCUUGAACCCAAAAAAAGCUAAGCAAGAGCAUGAGGCCUUAAGUUCAAGCCUUAGUACCACCA